UACAUAGACCUCAAGCGUUAUCCGGAUUUACUGGGCGUAAAGGGCUCGUAGGCGGCCAACUAAGUCAUACGUGAAAUCCCCUCAGCUUAACUGGGGAACUGCGUGUGAUACUGGAUGGCUUGGAUUUGGGAGAGGGAUGCGGAAUUCCAGGUGUAGCGGUGAAAUGCGUAGAUAUCGGGAGGAACACCAAUGGCGAAGGCAGCUCGCUGGGACGGUACUGACGCUGAGACGCGAAAGCGUGGGGAGCAAACAGG
rnacentral:rRNA from 1 species